rnacentral:rRNA from 1 species
GACACGCUGGCGGCGUGCCUAACACAUGCAAGUCGGACGGAUCAGGUAUGACAGCUUGCUGUAGUGCCUGGUUAGUGGCGCACGGGUGCGUAACGCGUGGGAAUCUGCCCUUGGGUUCGGAAUAACUCAGAGAAAUUUGAGCUAAUACCGGAUGAUGACGAAAGUCCAAAGAUUUAUCGCCCAGGGAUGAGCCCGCGUAAGAUUAGCUUGUUGGUGGGGUAAUGGCCUACCAAGGCGACGAUCUUUAGCUGGUCUGAGAGGAUGAUCAGCCACACUGGGACUGAGACACGGCCCAGACUCCUACGGGAGGCAGCAGUGGGGAAUAUUGGACAAUGGGCGCAAGCCUGAUCCAGCAAUGCCGCGUGAGUGAUGAAGGCCUUAGGGUUGUAAAGCUCUUUUACCAGGGAUGAUAAUGACAGUACCUGGAGAAUAAGCUCCGGCUAACUCCGUG